rnacentral:tmRNA from 1 species
GGGGAUGAUCGGCCUCGAGGGAGAGCCUAUGAUUAUCGCUCAGGCGGAGGACCCAGAGAAGCUCCUAAAAAUCUUUGGAAAACAUACGUGCAAAGCCAGAAAUGGCUUUAGCCUAAGGCGACCUCCUCUGUUUUUUAACGGAGGACAUCCUGCCUUUGACGCGCGCUAAAAGGAAUCAGGGUGUUAUAUAGCGCGACAACGCGAAGAGCCGCCUCGGCUUCGCGUCCGAAAUAGAGGCAAACUUUUUAAGCCUGUCAACCGAUUUUCAAAAACUUUCCUGACCCGGGUUCAAUUCCCGGCAUCUCCACAA